CACCCCACCCAACGCACCCACAUCCUGCCCCGAUUCAGAGAGAGACCUCUGCUCGCCUCCGAUGGAUGGACCUCACCGCCGGCCAUGGCCUCCCCCACUCCCCCCCCCCCCCCCCCCCCCCCCCCAUCAGAGGGUCGGUCGGUCGGUCUUCGCACUGCCGGCAGCCACAUUUCCCACUCUGCUCUCCACACUCCCCUUCACCCAGAUCCCUAAAUCCCGCCGUCUCCGCCACCAGCCAUAGCACAGCCUCGCCAUCCUCCCUCCACCGCCAAACGCCCGCCUCUUUCAGUUCCACCGCGACGACCAUAGCAGCGCCAUCCCGCGGCCUCCUAACGUCGGAUCUGCCGCUCCCACCCCAGCGCCGCCGACCGCCCCGACCCGGCGACCCCGGCUCAACCAGCCGUGCGAGCCAUGGACGUGGCGACGGGGGCCAUGGACAGCCUCCUCCCUAAGCUCGAGGAACUCCUCAUGGCGGAGUACAUGCUGUAGGCCAGAGUCAAGAAAGACGUCCAGCGUCUCCGCACAGAGCUGACCGUCAUGUACGCCGCCCUCCGCGAGGUACGCAACGCGCCGCGGAACCAGCUCGACGGGCAGGUCAAGCUCUGUGCCAACCGCGUCAGGGACCUCUCAGGUGUGAUGCUGCUCUUCCAGACGGCCCUGGGGGAGGGGGACACUUGAUUUCUUCUCCAGAUCUGGAUCCCGGGGACAACGUCAGGUCACUAUGCAAGGCGGUGGCCUGCGGGAAGGGGAACUGCGUGGUGACAGAAGUAUGUCGGAAGGAUUCCAGAUAUGUUGCUCUGAACAUAC